rnacentral:lncRNA from 1 species
AAUUAAAGGUGCGUGUGGGCUUUGGCUGACGCUUAAGUACGCUAAAAAAAUAGUUUCGAGUAGUUUCAGGGAUUCCUUAACCUGUAUUCUAAAUUUCAUUCAAAUUACAAAUUCAUUCCAAUUCCAAAUUCAUCUAAAAACUCAGUAAAUUGAAAAAAAAACAUCAAACUCAACUUUAAGCUAAUUUCACUUAUCAGUAAUGCACCCCACCACCACACAAGGCACAACGACACCACAUACGCAACACCAUCAUGACACCAAACCCUUCGACUCCACUGCAAUGACACAAAAAUGCAUUCAACGAACUUAGAAACAACUCAAAAAAAUAACCACAACACACGUGUAUUGGGAUUUCCUUACCAAAUGAAGUUGUGAAGGAACUCAUAUGGACCUAUGGAGGUACGGCGGGAUUUAUUGGGGGAAGAAGAUGAACAACUACGUUGAAAUGAAAACGGUGAGAAGUUGAAAAAUAACAAAGGUUGAGUUGCGGACGAGGAGGAAUGAUAACUAUAAGCUGAAAAAAAGGAACUCAGUAAGGAGGACCA